AGGGUUUGAUCAUGGCUCAGAACGUACGCUGGCGGCACGCCUAACACAUGCAAGUCGAACGAAGUAGCAAUACUUAGUGGCAGACGGGUGAGUAACAUGUGGGUAUCUGCCCUUUGGCCUGGAAUAACACGAGGAAACUUGUGCUAAUACCGGAUAAGUCUUUACGGAGAAAGCUUUAUGCACCAUUGGAUGAGCCCGCACUUGAUUAGUUUGUUGGUGGGGUAAUGGCCUACCAAGACUGUGAUCAAUAGCUGAUUUGAGAGGAUGAUCAGCCACAUUGGGACUGAGACACGGCCCAAACUCCUACGGGAGGCAGCAGUGGGGAAUCUUGCACAAUGGAGGAAACUCUGAUGCAGCGAUGCCGCGUGAGUGAAGAAGGCCCUUGGGUUGUAAAGCUCUUUCGUCGGGGAAGAAAAUGACUGUACCCGAAUAAGAAGGUCCGGCUAACUUCGUGCCAGCAGCCGCGGUAAUACGAAGGGACCUAGCGUAGUUCGGAAUUACUGGGCUUAAAGAGUUCGUAGGUGGUUGAAAAAGUUAGUGGUGAAAUCCCAGAGCUUAACUCUGGAACUGCCAUUAAAACUUUUCAGCUAGAGUAUGAUAGAGGAAAGCAGAAUUUCUAGUGUAGAGGUGAAAUUCGUAGAUAUUAGAAAGAAUACCAAUUGCGAAGGCAGCUUUCUGGAUCAUUACUGACACUGAGGAACGAAAGCAUGGGUAGCGAAGAGGAUUAGAUACCCUCGUAGUCCAUGCCGUAAACGAUGUGUGUUAGACGUUGGAAAUUUAUUUUCAGUGUCGCAGCGAAAGCGAUAAACACACCGCCUGGGGAGUACGACCGCAAGGUUAAAACUCAAAUGAAUUGACGGGGACCCGCACAAGUAGUGGAGCAUGUGGUUUAAUUCGAUGCAACGCGAAAAACCUUACCUACCCUUGACAUGUCACUAACGAAGUAGAGAUACAUUAGGUGCUCGAAAGAGAGCCGUAACACAGGUGCUGCAUGGCUGUCGUCAGCUCGUGUCGUGAGAUGUUGGGUUAAGUCCCGCAACGAGCGCAACCCUUGUCAUUAGUUGCUACAUUUAGUUGGGCACUCUAAUGAGACUGCCGGUGACAAACCGGAGGAAGGUGGGGAUGACGUCAAGUCCUCAUGGCCCUUAUGGGUAGGGCUACACACGUCAUACAAUGGCUGGUACAAAGGGUUGCCAACCCGCGAGGGGGAGCUAAUCCCAUAAAGCCAGUCGUAGUCCGGAUCGUAGUCUGCAACUCGACUGCGUGAAGUCGGAAUCGCUAGUAAUCGUGGAUCAGAAUGUCACGGUGAAUACGUUCCCGGGUCUUGUACACACCGCCCGUCACACCAUGGGAGCGGGU
rnacentral:rRNA from 1 species